AACGAACGCUGGCGGCAUGCCUAACACAUGCAAGUCGAACGAGACCUUCGGGUCUAGUGGCGCACGGUUGCGUAACGCGUGGGAACCUGCCCUUAGGUUCGGAAUAACUCCCCGAAAGGGGUGCUAAUACCGGAUAAUGUCUUCGGACCAAAGAUUUAUCGCCUUUGGAUGGGCCCGCGUUGGAUUAGCUAGUUGGUAGGGUAAAAGCCUACCAAGGCGACGAUCCAUAGCUGGUCUGAGAGGAUGAUCAGCCACACUGGGACUGAGACACGGCCCAGACUCCUACGGGAGGCAGCAGUGGGGAAUAUUGGACAAUGGGCGAAAGCCUGAUCCAGCAAUGCCGCGUGAGUGAUGAAGGCCUUAGGGUUGUAAAGCUCUUUUACCCGGGAUGAUAAUGACAGUACCGGGAGAAUAAGCUCCGGCUAACUCCGUG
rnacentral:rRNA from 1 species